rnacentral:rRNA from 1 species
GACUCUCGGCAACGGAUAUCUCGGCUCUUGCAUCGAUGAAGAACGUAGCGAAAUGCGAUACUUGGUGUGAAUUGCAGAAUCCCGUGAACCAUCGAGUCUUUGAACGCAAGUUGCGCCCGAAGCCAUUAGGCCAAGGGCACGUCUGCCUGGGUGUC